CAUCGGCAUCCCUCUUUUAAAACGUACCUAUAGUUGUGCUUAAAAGAUAAAUUAUAAAUCUUAAAGUGACACAAUCGCAUGCGAUAAACGGUUCUCAAACGAACCUAGGAUGACGGUCUUUCUUACUGGCGGUGGAAUGCGGGUGGGCGCCCGAGACAUGAAGUGGGAUACAAAUAUAAACUUGAGAGAGGAUAGUGGGAAAUUGAUUGAAAGCGUCUUUGAAGGCAAACGCUCUCAAGCUCAAGCUCGAGCUCGACACGAAUCGACACAACAUUCGUUGUCGUCAGAAUUAUAUUGUCGGGGGCUGAAAAGCGUUUAAUUAAAUCAAUCAAUUAGUUGAACGACUUAUUGACUUGAAUUUUAUUCUUUAUGUUUCACAACUAAACUUUACGUUCACGUCCACGUCCAAAUCUCUGUUCACAACGUCGCGUCCGUCGUCCACGUCCACAAGUGACUUUGGCUACUGAAUGUAUUUAUAUUUUCAAGGAACGCUUAUGAGUCUAUCACACAGCUGGAACCAACCAACCGACAGACCGACCGACUUCUCCGACGGUUCCGACAGCCCCAGGGGCCGAGGGAGCGAGUUCUCGAGGAAGCAGCUGGUUGGGAAAAUUGCAGAGUAUCGUGUGCUAAAUGGAGACGGUUUAAGUUUUGUGUUAAAGGCAACUGAGGUCGAUGGAGGAGGAGGACGAGGAAGCUUGCCUGCCGAACAGAAAUUGAAGGUGUGAAAAUAAAUAAAAAUAAUAUUGUCAUUUAA